rnacentral:rRNA from 1 species
GACGAACGCUGGCGGCGUGCUUAACACAUGCAAGUCGAACGGAAAGGCCCUGCUUUUGUGGGGUGCUCGAGUGGCGAACGGGUGAGUAACACGUGAGUAACCUGCCCUUGACUUUGGGAUAACUUCAGGAAACUGGGGCUAAUACCGGAUAGGAGCUCCUGCUGCAUGGUGGGGGUUGGAAAGUUUCGGCGGUUGGGGAUGGACUGGCGGCUUAUCAGCUUGUUGGUGGGGUAGUGGCUUACCAAGGCUUUGACGGGUAGCCGGCCUGAGAGGGGGGCCGGGGGCGGGGGGACUGAGGGACGGAGCAGGCGGGAAUGGGAGGGAGGGGGGGGGAGUAUGGGACAGGGGGAGGGGGGGUGGGGGGGAGGCGGGGGGGGCGGGAAGGGGGUGUGGGGGGUGUGAAGGGCAGUGGGGGGUGACGGAGCGGGAGUGACGGUAAUGGGUGAAGAAGCACCGGCUAACUACGUG